rnacentral:rRNA from 1 species
AAUUAUUUAUUUGAUGGUUUCUUACUACAUGGAUAACCGUAGUAAUUCUAGAGCUAAUACAUGCGUAAAAUCCCGACCCUUGCGGGGAGGGAUGUAUUUAUUAGAUUAAAAACCAAUGCGGCCUUUGGUCGGACUUGUGUUGAUUCAUAGUAACUUUUCGGAUCGCAGGGCUUCACGCCGGCGACAGUUCAUUCAAAUUUCUGCCCUAUCAGCUUUCGACGGUAGUGUAGUGGACUACCGUGGCAUUUACGGGUGACGGAGAAUUAGGGUUCGAUUCCGGAGAGGGAGCCUGAGAAACGGCUACCACA